UACGUAGGAGGCGAGCGUUGUCCGGAGUUACUGGGCGUAAAGCGCACGCAGGCGGUCAGAUCAGUCUGGAGUGACAGUCGUCGGCUUAACCGACGAAGUGUUCUGGAAACUGUCUGACUUGAGGGCUUCAGAGGGACACGGAAUUCCGGGGUGGAGUGGUGAAAUGCGUAGAUAUCCGGAGGAACACCGAUGGCGAAGGCAGGUCUC
rnacentral:rRNA from 1 species